GAGUUUGAUCCUGGCUCAGGAUGAACGCUGGCGGCGUGCUUAACACAUGCAAGUCGAACGGACAGGUAAUGAAACCUAGUGAUUUAUCUGUUAGUGGCGGACGGGUGAGUAACGCGUGGGUAACCUGCCGUAUACAGGGGGAUAACACUUAGAAAUAGGUGCUAAAACCGCAUAAGCGCACAGGAUCGCAUGGUCUGGUGUGAAAAACUCCGGUGGUAUACGAUGGACCCGCGUCUGAUUAGCUGGUUGGCGGGGUAGAGGCCCACCAAGGCGACGAUCAGUAGCCGGCCUGAGAGGGUGAACGGCCACAUUGGGACUGAGACACGGCCCAAACUCCUACGGGAGGCAGCAGUGGGGAAUAUUGCACAAUGGGGGAAACCCUGAUGCAGCGACGCCGCGUGAGUGAAGAAGUAUUUCGGUAUGUAAAGCUCUAUCAGCAGGAAAGAAAAUGACGGUACCUGACUAAGAAGCCCCGGCUAACUACGUGCCAGCAGCCGCGGUAAUACGUAGGGGGCAAGCGUUAUCCGGAUUUACUGGGUGUAAAGGGAGCGUAGACGGUGAAGCAAGUCUGAAGUGAAAGGCGGGGGCUCAACCCCCGGACUGCUUUGGAAACUGUUUGACUGGAGUGCAGGAGAGGUAAGUGGAAUUCCUA
rnacentral:rRNA from 1 species